rnacentral:tRNA from 2 species
GGCCGGUUGGCCCAAUGGCAAGGCGUCUGACUACGAUUGAAAAAGAUUUUAAUCAGGAGAUUCUGGGUUCGACCCCCAGGCUGGUCA